AGAACAGGGGGAAUAUAUUAGUGUACUGCAGGCAGAGGUGAAGAACAGGGGGAAUAUAUUAGUGUACUGCAGGCAGAGGUGAAGAGUAGACUGGCUAUGUGA